CUUGAUGGACCCCAGCCAAAGGGGUUCGCUACGGCCCUGCCCGUAGGUGGCCAGCAACGCCUGCGCCUC
rnacentral:antisense_RNA from 1 species